CUUUUUUUUUUUUUUUUUUUUUNUUUUUUUAAGGGCUGCACCGGCCUCAUAUGGAGGUUCCCAGGCUAGGGGAUCAAAUCCGAGUUGUAGCCGACAGCCUACACCACGGCCACGGCCACCCCAGAUCCGAGCCGCGUCUGUGACCUAUAUCACAGCUCACAGCAACGCCGGAUCCUUUACCCACUGAGUGAGGCCAGGGAUCGAACCUGCGCCCUCACGGUUCCCAGUCGGAUUCGUUUCCCCUGCACCAUGACGGGAACUCCCGGAGAGACUUUUAACAAGAAUUUUCAUUGAUGGGUAGUUGAUGUACUAUGUUGUGCUAAUUUGUGCUGGGCGGUGGUUCGGGUAUACAUAGAGAUACAUUCUGUUUCCUAUUCUUUUCUGUUAGGGUUUGUCACAGGUUGAAUAUAGAGAGCUCCCUGGGCUGGGCAGUGGGACCUUGUUGAACUUUUUUGUUGUUGUUGUUGUCGUUUUUUAAAGUUUCAUUGCGGUGGACUUCAUGUGCAGCGUUGGGAUCCUUUCUGCUGUGUAGCAAAGUGACUCAGGCAUCCGUGUUCACAUAUCCGCUCUCGCUCAGAUUCUUUUCCCACAGAGAUGAUCAGAGAAUAUUGGGCGGAGUUCUCUGUGCCAACAGCAGUUCCCCGUUAGCCCGUCAUUCCAUAGACCUGAGGGUGCACGUGCCAACCCCGCACCCCCCAUCCAUCCCUGCCCCCACCUGUCCCCUUUGGUCACCGAAAGAUUGUUUUCAAAGUCUGUGAGUCUUUCUGUCCUGCCAAUAAGGUCAUUGGUGUCCUUUUUUCUAGAUUCCACGUGUAAGUGAUAUCAUGUGAUGUUUGUCUCUCUCUUUCUGACUUACGUAGUGUGACAAUCUCUAGGUCCAUCCAUGCUGCUGCUGAUGGCAUGAUUUUGUUCUUUUUCAUGGCUGCGUCAUAUUCCGUUGUAUGUAUGUACCAUGCCUACACGUCCAUCAGCAGAGGACUGGAUAAAGAUGUGGCACAUACACUUUGUGGAAUAUGACUCAGCUAUAAAAAAGAAUGAUGGAAGGUAACAUAAGAAAGGGAAUGUGUGUGUGUGUGUGUUGUGUGUGUGUGUAUAUCUGACUGUUACUUUGCAAUGUAGCAGAAAUUAGCAUAUUGUAAAUCAACUCUAAUAAAAUUUUUUUUAAAAUAAAAUUCUUCUACCACCACCACCAACAAAGAAUGAAAUCAUGCCAUUUGCAGCAACAUGUAUAGACCUGGAAAUAAACUAUUUGUUUUUUUUUGAGCCACAUCUGCUGUGUAUGGGAGUUCCCAGGCUAGGAGUCAAAUUGAGCUCCAGCUGCCAGCCUACACCACAGCCACAGCACCACCAGAUCCGAGCCACAUCUGCGACCUCCACCACAGCUCACAGCAGUUCGAUCCCUGACCUCGCUCCGUGGGUGAAGGAUCCAGCGUUGCCAUGAGCUGUGAUGUAGGUCGCAGAUAUGGUCGGAUCUGGCGUGGCUGUGGCUGUGGUGUAGACCGGCAGCUGCAGCUCAGAUUCGACCCCUAGCCUGGGAACUUCCAUGUGCUGCAGGUGCGGCUCUAAAAAAAAAAAUUAAUAAAAAAUAAGGGCGUGGCUUGAGCACAGUGCCAGCUCAGCUUUUCUGUCUCCCUGGGGGGCACUUGUGGGAAAGCCACUGGCCUCCGUUCUUCCUCCUGAGUCAGAAUUUGUGUGCGGGCUCUUUAAAGCCACUGCCUCAGAGAAAGCAGUGAAAAAAAAAAACUCCACAAAAGGCAGAAUUUUUACAGUGAUGUCAUUUCAGUAGUGGGAAGGACCAGAGGUUAAUUUGGCCCUCGGAGACCUGAAUUUUGGCUCUUCUGGUCGACUGCACAUAUUUCUGUGGGGCUGGAAAAUCAUGACCCAGAUGCCCAAAGGCCGGAGACAGGGCACCGGCCUCGUUCCUGAGCCCUGUCACCCCCACCCCCGUCCCCGGAACACACGCUCACGGCCUGUCUUCUGGGACCUGUGCUCUUUCUCUCCCGACCCUAACAGGGGACGCCCUGUGAGCCAUUAGGGGGAGCGAUGCGGCUUUCAGAAUAUCACCUGGGAAAGACUUGGGGCUGCAGCCGAGACCCCCUAAUUCUGACUUUGCAAACCUUUGCUGGGGUCCUGGUGAGAAGUCCGGCUGGUGUAUUUGGCAGGAAACAUCCAGAACUCACUGUCUGUCUUUCUGUCUGUCUCUCUUCUUCCUUCCCUCCUUCCUUCUCUCUUUCUCUCUCCCUCCCCCACAGCCCCGGGUCCUGCUUAGCCAUUGAAACCCCCCGAAGUCCCCAGGGUGUCUGUCUGUCUCACAUCGAAUCCCAUUCUUCCCCCACGUGCACCUGGACUCGGGUUACUGACCUCACGAGCCAGGCCGGGCUCAGAAGGAAGCUGUAGCUCUCUGUCCCUUGACGUCUGAAUUUAAAGCUUGACACCUCCCCCCCCCUUUGGGAGGCUUUAUCUGCAUGUGUGCCCCAUACACCCUGGGGUCCUGCAGGCCAUGAGGGCAGGCAAGCGCUCUGCUCUCCAGCCCUGUCCCCCAGUCCCUGCGAAUCUGUACUCUGACCAAAGUCGCUCCAGCAUGUUUUAGUUUUGGUUUGGUUUGGGGGUGUUUUUUUCCCCUUUUUUUUACAACUGCUGGGUCCACAUUGCCCGGGCCGCUGCCUGCAGCGGGGACUGUUUGGCGACCUGUUCAGGGAUGCAGUUGCGUGGAUGUGCCUUCCUGACGGUGGUGGAAGGUCCUUGUCAGCGGUCGGCCGCGGGGGGCAGGCAGCCGGCCCGCGGGAGCCUUGCCCAGGUCCCACUGCCCCCUGGAGGGACGGAUGGACAGAUGGGCGCCGCCCUGGAUGCAGGGAGCAUCCUCUCGUCAGAGGGAGAGGAGAUGCUGCUGGGGUUCCGCACGCCUCCUCCCCCCGAGCACAGCUGGAGGUGUUGGGGCUCCAGACCUGAGUGUGGCCUGGGCGCGCUGGGGGGCCCUGGCGUGCUUAGCCCUCUCCCUCUCCCUGUGCCUCCGUCCCCCGCUUUCAUUUUGUGGCCUCGAUUCCCCUGUGACUCCUCCCUGGCAUUUUUCUCUUGGUUGUCACGGAAAAGUGCCGCGUGUUCUGCACCCCUAAAAAUAUCUGUUCAGCAACGACACACUGACCCCGUUCGGAGGGCUCCAUAGAUGGGCUGUUGCUCUGAGUCUGAUGACCUGCUUGAAAAGGCCUUUCGGUGCGUUUCGAGGGGCCCCUUGACCCCUCCGAACGGCGAUGUUGAAGCUGGAAGGCCGUUGUUUAAAACAGUGGAUGUACCGGGGAGGUUAAGUCUGUGGCUCUUUCAUGGACAGUGGAAGCAGAAGCCAGAAAGGCCUGCUGGUAGCUCCAGGGACGGCGGAGGGUCCUGCCGACAAGGGCGGGGAGGAGGAGAGCCCGCACCAGGCACAGGACACCCCACCACACCCCGUCAGAGUCCUGCAGCCCCCGUGGCAGUGGGGCUGAGGCUGAGGAAUGAACGCCCUCUAGCGAGGGCCGCUUUCCGUCACCUGUCUCUCUGCCUGGCCGCCAGCUCUCCAUCUUUCUUGCGGUUUCUCCAUCAGUUCAUCCAUCCACCCAUCCACCCACCCGUCUUUCGCUAUAUCUCUGCCUCUCCAUCCAUCCUCUGUCCCUUGAUCUUCUGUCAUCUGUCAGUCAGUCUAUCCAUCCAUCCAACCCACCGUCUUUCUAUCUCUAUCCACCUGUCCGUCCAUCUUUCUUUCCUUCUAGUAUCUGUUUAUGUCUGUUGACCUCUGACGUCUAUCUUCAUCCUUCUGUGUAUCCAUCAUUUCUGUUUCUUUCUUUCUACCUGUUAUAUAUAUCUAUCUAUCUCUAUGACCGAUCUAUUGAUUAUCGAUCUAUUACCUAUAAAUCUGUUUCUUUGACCUCUCUAUUGAUCUGUCUCUCCCAUCUGCCUAUUACCUAUCUCUCCAUCCUGGGAGGUACAGCCUCCUAUUAAACUCUGUCAGGGUGACUCCCUGUCACUGUGCACGGACGCUGCACUGUCCUUUGCGGUGCUGGGGUGCGGUUCUAACUGAUGGGUGAGGUGCCCUGUAAUUGAGAGGAUGUCUUUGCAUUUUGCACAACACAAACCAUGCUUUAUAUCAAAUAGCAUGCAUGGGUAUACAGGUGUGGGUGCAUCUGUGCACAUAUGAGGAUGUGUGUUUGCAGUCUGGGGUGUGUCUCUGGGGUGUGUGUGUGUCUCUGUGCUGUAGGUUUUCAUGUCUUGUGAGCUUGUACAUUUCUUUGCUUUUUUGGUUUUGUUUCUGAAUCACCUAUGCUUUGCUUCAUUUUUAGCGACUGGGGUUCUAGAAAAAGCCUUACUGCUUAUGCAGGGUUUUUUGUUUUGUUUUUUCCUUUUUUUUUUUUUUUUUUUGGUGCUCAUUUAAGAUUCCCAAGAAGUUGCAAACGGGAGUUCCAGGAGUUCCCUGGUGGCUCAGUGGGUUAAGGAUCUGAUGUUGUCACUACUGUGCCAUGGGUUCAAUCCCUGUCCCCAGAACUUUUGCUUGCCUCAAAUACAGUCCGAAGAAGAAGAAAUUGCAAACAUAAUGAAUCCAACCUCCCCAGGUAACAGCGUUUUACACCAUAGCACAGUGUCCAAACUAGAAAUUUACUGCCCUAUCAAUUGCAAAUAUCUUUGAGUUCAUUUCAUUUCAAAAACUGAUAGAAGUAAUACAGACACAUAUAUUUUACUCAAAAUGUUGCUGUGCUUUUAUGUAGUGCUGCCUGGAUGGAAUAACAUACACAACAUCUUGCAAAAUUUUUAAUGUAACUGAAUUUACAUUUUCUGGCACUUGGGUAUCACUUAGGGUUUCAUCCCAGUUAUAGUAUGAUGCUGGACCUGGUUUCUGGUUUUAUUUAUUUUUAAUUCAAGACAUGAAACCCGUUGUCAGUUAUUGGUAUAUGGUGCAUCGUAGAGAUUGUUUUUUUUUAAUGGAGUGCUUUUCUGGAACUGUUGAUGGAAUAGCCUAUCUUUUCCCUGCUGUAUGAGGUCUCAACUCUCCCACAUUCUCGUUGCCCAAUGUAUUUCCCUUUUUGUUUCCAUCGGUCUUAUCUUUCACCUGCACCCAAAACAAAUCAGGGAGUUCCUGUCUCUUUGCUGGAAACACUGACACUCCAUGGGAGUCAUAUUUUGGAGCAAAAGCUGGCAAGAAGUCCUUAGAAACCCCCCUUUGCGAUUCUGUCCACGUCUGAACCUAGCCAGUAAUCCCCUUGCAGAGGGUGUGCUUGCGCUCAUAGGCUGUUGAUGUCAUAUAAAACUUGCAUUAACGUUAUUGUUUAUUAGCACCCAGUCCCGAUUUUGUUUUACAGUCCAUGUGUAAUGUUGGAACACACACCAGCAGAUGUCGAUCUGCAGUAUUUCUGUCACCUCUGAAAGCUGACAAGCAGAUGCUUGGAAGCACGUUCUUGUUCUUGUUCCCAGUUGUUCUCAACAGUAGGGGGUUGCCGUGUAUUCUGUUUCUAUGCUGAGAUGUAGAAUAGUCACAUUCUCAGAUUGUCUUUUCUGCUGUUUAACUGAAAGGUGUCAGUGGAAGUCAAUGAGCUCCUAAAAGUCCACAUAAGCCUCCUGGGUCUUCGCCUUUGUUUUCAGAACCUUUUGGUAGACAAGACUAUUUCCUUGAGACCUCCUGGGUUUUCUCUCCAUAUUUAUUUUUCCGUGGCUCCCCAUCAUCACCAGCAUCCUGAUCUCACGGGGGAAACUAUUUCACAUCUUGCCAAGCAUGAAAAACCCCAUAAAUACUGGGCUGCCAUAAUCUUCUCAAGACCCAGCAUACAGAACUCUGCUGUAGGGGUGUGACCACACGCAGGUCCAGCUAGCUGCUUGCUGCUCAAAAGCUGGUACACACAAGGCAGGUGUUGGUAAAAAGGAAAGUUUGCUUUAUUCCAGAGGCCAGCACCCUGAUGAGAAGGUGGACUCAUGUCCAAAAGCCAACUCCCCAUUACUGACCAUGGGGCAAGAACUUUGAAAGGAGAAUUUCACGUAGGCUACAGAUGCAGCUUGGAUCCAGUGCUCCUGUGGCUCUGGUGUAGGCUGGCAGCUGCAGCUCCAAUUCAGCCCCUAGCCUGGGGUACCAUGGGUACAGCCCUAAAAAGAAAAAAAAUGGAGAGGGAGUUAGAGGAGUUCCCGUUGUGG
rnacentral:lncRNA from 1 species